GCUGGGCAUGGUGGCGCAUGCCUGUAAUCCUAGCACUUUCGGAGGCUGAGGUGGGCGGAUCGCUUGAGCCCAGGAGUUUGAGACCAGCCUGGGCAACAUGGUGAAACCCCUUCUCUA
rnacentral:sRNA from 1 species